rnacentral:tRNA from 1 species
AGCCCUGUAGUUUAUUAAAAAUGGCGAAUUGCAGAUUCGAAGAAAGAGAAGAUCUCAGGGUGU